rnacentral:rRNA from 1 species
UAACAAGGAUUCCCCUAGUAACUGCGAGUGAAGCGGGAAGAGCUCAAAUUUAAAAUCUGGCGGUCUUCUGGCUGUCCGAGUUGUAAUCUGGAGAAGCGUUUUCUGUGUUAGACCGUGUACAAGUCUCCUGGAACGGAGCGUCAUAGAGGGUGAGAAUCCCGUCCAUGACACGGACAACUAAUACUUUGUGAUACGCUCUCGAAGAGUCGAGUUGUUUGGGAAUGCAGCUCAAAAUGGGUGGUAAAUUCCAUCUAAAGCUAAAUACAGGCGAGAGACCGAUAGCGAACAAGUACCGUGAGGGAAAGAUGAAAAGCACUUUGGAAAGAGAGUUAAACAGUACGUGAAAUUGUUGAAAGGGAAACGCUUGAAGUCAGUCGCGUUGUGCAGAACUCAGCCUUGCCUCGGCUUGGUGUACUUUCUGCACAACGGGUCAACAUCAAUUUUGGCCCAUGGAGAAAGGUGRGGGGAAUGUAGCGCUGUUUCGGCAGCGUGUUAUAGCCCCUCAUUGUAUACAUGGGCUGGGAUUGAGGAACGCAGCACGCCCUUGUGGCCGGGGGUUCGCCCUACGUACCGUGCUUAGGAUGUUGGCAGAAUGGCUUUAAGCGACCCGUCUUGAAACACGGACCAAGGAGUCUAACAUGCUUGCGAGUAUUCGGGUGGAAAACCCUUGUGCRUAAUGAAAGUGAAAGUUGGGAACCUCCGCAAGGGGGUGCACCGACGCCCGGCCCUGACGUUCUCUGACGGUGCUGCGGUAGAGCAAGUAUGCUAGGACCCGAAAGAUGGUGAACUAUGCCUGAAUAGGGCGAAGCCAGAGGAAACUCUGGUGGAGGCUCGUAGCGAUUCUGACGUGCAAAUCGAUCGUCAAAUUUGGG